rnacentral:rRNA from 1 species
CCCUUAGACGUUCUGGGCCGCACGCGCGCUACACUGACCAGUGCAACAAGCAUCCGUCCUUGGCCGACAGGCCCGGGCAAUCUUUGAACGCUGGUCGUGAUGGGGAUAGACUUUUGCAAUUUUUGGUCUUCAACGAGGAAUUCCUAGUAAACGCAAGUCAUCAACUUGCAUUGAUUACGUCCCUGCCCUUUGUACACACCGCCCGUCGCACCUACCGAUUGAAUGGUCCGGUGAAGCCUCCGGAUUGGCGCGCACCUCGGUGCCGCCGAGAAGUUGGCUAAACCUUACCAUUUAGAGGAAGGAAAAGUCGUAACA